GAAUGCUAAAAAGUCAUAAUUUCAUGUCGUUUUGGUUCUUAACAAAGGGCAAACGAAUGCUCCAAGGCCCAAACGACAUCGUCUAAUAUGAGAAAAGGCAAGUUCUAGUAAACGACACUAACACAGUGCUCCUGGAUUUCGUUUCAUCUGAGUAACUACAAAGCAAAAACCCUGUCACCGCCGAAAACAUUUUCCCACUCUUCUCGACUCUUUCUCCGGCCACCGUCAUCGCUGCCACACACGACUGCGAAAACUCCGACGGUAAAUGGCUCACCAACCUUUUGACCCAUACUACGCAUACCAGCAGCAGGAUGAGCGAAGCCACAUCAACACGUUGUUUGUGUCGGGCCUCCCAGACGACGUGAAGGCGCGUGAGAUUCACAACCUCUUCCGCCGUCGCCCCGGCUUCGACUCCUGCCAGCUCAAGUACACCGGACGCGCCAACCAGGUUGUUGCGUUUGCUACUUUUUUCAAUCAUCAAUCGGCGAUGGCAGCAUUGCACGCUUUAAAUGGCGUGAAAUUUGAUCCACAAGCUGGUUCUGUUUUGCAUAUUGAACUUGCUAGGUCAAACUCAAGGAGGAAGCGUAAGCCAGGUAGCGGAGCCUAUGUUGUUAUAGAUAAACGGUCUAAAGGAGAGGCUGAUGUUCAAGGGUCAUCAAGUGAUGAUGGUGACAGUGAUCCUGAUGAACCAUCAGGAAGUGGUGGCAGCCAUGGUGAUUUAGCAACCACUAAAAGUGAGAUUAAGUUUGGCUCUGACAGUGCUGUGUCUGCGGAGCAGCAUGAAAGGGGUCCUGAUGGAGGACCAUGCUCUACUCUCUUCAUUGCAAAUCUUGGUCCAAACUGCACCGAAGAUGAACUGAGACAAACUUUCUCAGUGUAUGCUGGAUUCAACAUGGUCAAAAUCCGUUCUAGAGGAUCAAUCCCCUGUUGGUCAGUGUAGUAAAUUUUGCUUGCUUACCCCUUAUCAAUUUACUAACCUUUAUUCUUUUACAGGAAGUUGAACAAGCUACUAAGGUCAUGGAGCAGCUUCAGGGCAGCAUGCUGUCGUCGUCAGAUCGGGGUGGCAUGCACAUAGAAUACGCAAGGUCUAAAAUGAGGAAGCAUUAGAAGAAAUGGAAGCAAGCCAAUUUCCAGAUAAUUUUGUUGUUUGAUAUAAAGGCCAACAUUGUGUUUUCUCUAGCAUAGUUGCAACGUAUUGGAAAUAUUGGGAAUGUUUAUCAACCUUAGAAAACAUCUUCAUUUUGUAGUAUAUUCCUUUCACUAUUAUAAAAAAAGAUAUUCCCUCAUUUUGUUUUUA